rnacentral:rRNA from 1 species
GGUAACCUGCCUUAUAGUGGGGGAUAGCCUUUCGAAAGGAAGAUUAAUACCGCAUAAGAUUGUAGUAUCGCAUGAUAUAGCAAUUAAAGGAGCAAUCCGCUAUAAGAUGGACCCGCGUCGCAUUAGCUAGUUGGUGAGGUGAUGGCUCACCAAGGCGACGAUGCGUAGCCGACCUGAGAGGGUGAUCGGCCACAUUGGGACUGAGACACGGCCCAGACUCCUACGGGAGGCAGCAUG